rnacentral:tRNA from 1 species
GUCAGAGUGGCCUAGUGGUUUGAGUGUUGGACUGUGACCCUGGAGACCUGGAUUCAAUUCCCAGCUUGGCCA